ACAGACAAUCCGAAACUCCGUCGGACCUACGGACAUGUCCGACAUAAAAAGUCAAGGGCCGAUCGAAAUUCUUAACUCGUCGGCCCGGAAUGUCCGAUAAAAUAUUUUCAGGUUUUUACAAUGAAAAUCAAGUUAUUUAUAGAACAUCGGCGGACUUUGCCGAACAUGAAAUACCAUUGUAUUCGCCGAUAAGUUAACCCGCUUUUGAUUGGUUCAAAAUCAUCUCGGCGAAAAUCGCCCGUGUUCGAAGCUGAAUUUUUUUCCGGAAUUAAACAAACAAGUAACGGUGGUUCCCUGCACUUUUGCGAUGAGUAAAUGGGGGAAUGCGUAAAGCCGGGAUCGAUUCGUUUAACCUUCGUUCGACACGUUUUUUCGACCGAGUUAAGUUCGCGACUUUUUACAGAAGACCAAACAAGUGCUAGGCGUUACCUUUCAACAGAGACGCACGGAGUUCAACGGCAAUUAUUAAUAAUCAGACUGCCUCUAUCAAACCUCGUGGAGGGAGAAGAAUGAACUAUUGUAGGUCCAAAAAUGUCAGCAUGAUAAGUGAUGAAACAGUGGAACAUGUUGAGGAUGAGGAAACAAGUACAGCACAUACCACCACUAACGAGCCAGAGCCUGGGUUGAUGAUAGAUGAGGAUGAUGAAGAUGAAGCUGAGGACGAUGACAUACACCUUUUAAAUAAAUAUGACACUGACAGUGAUUAUUGCAGCGACUUUCAGGCUGAGGAAUUUAACAUUGAAAGAAUAAUGUGCUUCUCCAAACAAUAUGAUUUAGAUUAACAUGAUAACAUGAUAAUAAAAACACUGUGUCUGUA